GAACAGAAAACCAAACACCACAUGUUCUCACUGGGAUUUCAAGACACAUUUGAUAUCUUACAGAGCUGAUAGCUGCCGUGCAUAGGGGAAAUAAAUGAGAGGAAUAUGUCUGCAUAGUGGGGGUGCAGCUAGCCUUGGGUAGUGAUUCAUUUAAUAUUCUUUUGGCUGCAAGUAACAGAAUAUCCAAAUAAAAUUGGUGCUAUGAAAAAAAAAAGUGGUGCUAUGAACUGAAUGUUUAUGUGUCCCCUGAAUCCAUAUGCUGAAACCCUAAUCCCCAAUGGGCUGGUAUUCAGAGAUGGGGCCUCUGGGAGGUAAUUGUCAUGACAGUAGAGAAUGAUGGGAUUGGUGCCUUUACAAGAAAAGACAAAGAAGAGCUUGCUUCCUCUCUGAUCUCCACCAGGUGAGGACACAAUAGGAUGACCAUCAGCAAACCAGGAAUAAUGCCCUCAACAGACAUCUGAUCUGCUGACACCUUGAUCUUGGACUUCUAAUUCUGCAGAACUGUGAGAAAUAAAUAACUGUUUUUAAAAACCA
rnacentral:lncRNA from 1 species